UGGGACUUCCUGGGUCAUUGCAUGUCCGAUUGAAAUUGUAAUGCCCCCUGAAGCCCAGG
rnacentral:pre_miRNA from 1 species